ACUAAAAUAGUUUAACAAAAACAUCAGACUGUGGCACUGAAAAUACCAGUUAAAACCUGGUUUUAAGUC
rnacentral:tRNA from 1 species